rnacentral:misc_RNA from 1 species
UCCGGUUUGUCACCGGCAGUCAUCUUAGAGUGCCCACCCAAAGUGCUGGCAACUAAGAUCAAGGGUUGCGCUCGUUGCGGGACUUAACCCAACAUCUCACGACACGAGCUGACGACAACCAUGCACCACCUGUCUCCUCUGUCCCGAAGGAAAGCCCUAUCUCUAGAGCGGUCAGAGGGAUGUCAAGACCUGGUAAGGUUCUUCGCGUUGCUUCGAAUUAAACCACAUACUCCACUGCUUGUGCGGGUCCCCGUCAAUUCCUUUGAGUUUCAGUCUUGCGACCGUACUCCCCAGGCGGAAUGCUUAAUGUGUUAACUUCGGCACCAAGGGUAUCGAAACCCCUAACACCUAGCAUUCAUCGUUUACGGCGUGGACUAC